UACAGAGGGGGCAAGCGUUAUUCGGAAUUAUUGGGCGUAAAGGGCGCGUAGGCGGCUUGGCAAGUGGAUGGUGAAAUCCCUCGGCUUAACCGAGGAACUGCCGUCCAAACUGCUUCGCUUGAGACCGGGAGAGGUGAGUGGAAUUCCCAGUGUAGCGGUGAAAUGCGUAGAUAUUGGGAGGAACACCAGUGGCGAAGGCGGCUCACUGGACCGGUACUGACGCUGAUGCGCGAAAG
rnacentral:rRNA from 1 species